AACGAGGCCGACCUGCGGCUGAGUUACCUGCGGAGGGAUCAUUAAUUAUUCAUCGGAAGAGUCCAGGUGGGCUGUGGAAGCAUAUGGGUAACCAUCCUUACCACACGCCCCUUCUUCAUGAACAUCCCUUCUGUGUAUCAAACCUCUGUUGCUUCCCGCAUGGCGUGGCCUGCAAGGGCUAUCCUGCGGGGAGGAUAUCAUAAAUUCUGGUUGUUGUAUUUGUAGUCUGAGUGGUAAACA
rnacentral:misc_RNA from 1 species